AUGCAACGCGAGAACCUUACCUGGUCUUGACAUCCCGGAGACCCUUAGGAACUAGGGGUGCUUCCAUCUGGAAGAAUCUGGAGACAGGUGCUGCAUGGCUGUCGUCAGCUCGUGUCGUGAGAUGUUGGGUUAAGUCCCGCAACGAGCGCAACCCUUGCCUUUAGUUGCCAGCAGUUCGGCUGGGCACUCUAAAGGGACUGCCGGUGUUAAACCGGAGGAAGGUGGGGAUGACGUCAAGUCCUCAUGGCCUUUAUGACCAGGGCUACACACGUACUACAAUGGCCGAUACAAAGGGCAGCGACACUGCGAGGUGAAGCCAAUCCCGUAAAAUCGGUCUCAGUCCGGAUUGGAGUCUGCAACUCGACUCCAUGAAGUUGGAAUCGCUAGUAAUCGUGGAUCAGCAUGCCACGGUGAAUACGUUCCCGGGCCUU
rnacentral:rRNA from 1 species